UUUAGAGGAAGUAAAAGUCGUAACAAGGUUUCCGUAGGUGAACCUGCGGAAGGAUCAUUAAUGAAUUAAAGUCGGUCUUCUGUGCUGGUGGUGACACAUGUGCACGUUGAUCGCAAAUCCACACACCUGUGCACCUUUGACUUUAGGAUCCGCUUGUUGGCUUGUCUGACUUGCAGCUGAUGUUGGUUUUGUGCUCAUCUGGAUCUUAGAGUAAUUUUACACACUCUGAAUGUAAUGGAAUGUUCCUGUGCAUAAUGCGCAAAAUACAACUUUCAACAACGGAUCUCUUGGCUCUCGCAUCGAUGAAGAACGCAGCGAAAUGUGAUAAGUAAUGUGAAUUGCAGAAUUCAGUGAAUCAUCGAAUCUUUGAACGCACCUUGCACCCUUUGGUAUUCCAAAGGGUACACCCGUUUGAGUGUCAUUGUAAUCUCACUUCAUCAGCUUUUGUUGAUGGAGGUGGACUUGGACUCUGUUGUGUCAUUACAACUGGUCUGAAAUGUGUGAGUGCACCCUGCUGUUGCAGCGUCCUCAGUGUGAUAAGCAUCUUCACUGAAUCAAGUUCCUUUGGGACACGUGUGUAAUGUGGGCUCUGUGCUGGCAAACUGUCUUUGGACAAUCUUGACAAUUUGACCUCAGAUCGAGUGGGACUACCCGCUGAACUUAAGCAUAUCAAUAAGCGGAGGAAAAGAAACUAACAAGGAUUCCCCUAGUAACGGCGAGUGAAGAGGGAAAAGCUCAAAUUUUGAAUCUGGUGCCUUUGGCAUCCGAGUUGUAAUCUAGAGAAGUGUUUUCUGCCUUGGACCACACAUAAAUUCCCUGGAAUGGGGUGUCAUAGAGGGUGAGAAUCCCGUUUGUGGUGUGGACUACCUUGGCUCUGUGAUACACUCUCAACGAGUCGAGUUGUUUGGGAAUGCAGCUCAAAAUGGGUGGUAAAUUCCAUCUAAAGCUAAAUAUUGGCGAGAGACCGAUAGCGAACAAGUACCGUGAGGGAAAGAUGAAAAGCACUUUGGAAAGAGAGUGAAACAGUACGUGAAAUUGUUGAAAGGGAAGCGUUUGAAGUCAGUCACGACUAUUGGGAUUCAGCCUGGCUUCUGCCUGGUGUAUUUUCUAGUAUUCGGGUCAGCAUCAGUUUUGACCGAGGGAGAAAGACUUGAGGAAGGUGGCUGUCUUUGGGCAGUGUUAUAGCCUCUUGUUGUAAUGCUCGGUUGGGAUUGAGGAUCGCAGCACGCCUUAUGGCCGGGGUUCGCGCCCUCGGUACGUGCUUAGGACGCUGGCAUAAUGGCUUUAAGCGACCCGUCUUG
rnacentral:rRNA from 1 species